GUGUAAGUUAAGCUGGUGAAGCUGUGUGGGAAACUGCCUAUUGUCUUCACUAGCAGAGAGGUGUGGACAAGGAGCCUGGAAUGCUGGUGACCCUUGAGCCCUGGCAAAGGUCAAAGCUAUACACCCACUGUUUAGUUGAGACAAUGGUAGCUGAAGCAACUUCCACACCAGACAGUCAUCAAAUCCUUACUGAUAAGAUACUCUAUUACUGGAAAUUGCCUGCCUAAGGACUAUAGGUGUAUCCCAAGUUGAAUAAAAGGAUGGCAAGGCCUGAGUCCAAUUGGAGUCCUUCCUCUUAAGUUGUGCUCCCAUCUGGUCCCCCAAUAUUUCCAAAUUAUUAUUUUUUGUCUCUUCUCUUUCAUUUGCAUGUGGCCCCUCUUCCAGAACCCAAGCCCUGAACAAUGCGAGAUGUGGGUCUUCACAAAGCAGGUCAUGUCAAUCAGAGUGACUGUAAAAGCAGCUUUUAUUUGUAUUACAUAGGUAGGGGAAAGGAAAAAUUGCUCAAAAGAAAGGGGGACCACUUCCUAGAAAGGAGGAGUGCUA